CGCAAGCUUCGAUAGAAAUUACAAAUAUAUAUCUAUAGUAUAUUCAAGAAAGAUGAUAAAUAAAAUAGUCGUUACUCAAAAUAACAGAAGGUACCAAUGUGUUAGUGGUAGAGGCACAUAGUGUUUGCCUUUCAGGGCGUGGGAUCGAACCUUGCUUGCUAUGUUAUUUAUUUGUUUUCGCUUGCUACAUCAGAUAGACAGCAUAGCCACAACAGAAAUGGAUGUGUCCCCUGAGGCAGUUCCUGAGAAGCCCAAUUUCCAUUCAGCGGUGGAAUUUCUAAUUAGCCCUCCAAUCCCAGCAGUUGUAGCUGAAUAUGCUCCAUUUGUAUUUAGCUUGUAAACUCUUUGGAGGAUUCCAUUUUACAUUUUUGAUAGCUUUAUUUUUUCUUUUGUGAGAAGAAGCACCCAAGUAUGAGAAUUCAGCUGCUUGCUGAGUUGUGUGUUUAACAUGAAUGUUAUCUCGAGUCAUGUUGUAACUAUUUUUGUUUCGUGUUAUCCAAAUAUUCUAUAAGCUUAUUGGUAA